rnacentral:rRNA from 1 species
ACCCGCUGAACUUAAGCAUAUCAAUAAGCGGAGGAAAAGAAACUAACAAGGAUUCUCCUAGUAACUGCGAGUGAAGCGGGAAAAGCUCAAAUUUAAAAUCUGGUAGUCUUUGGCUGCCCGAGUUGUAGUCUGGAGAAGUGUCUUCCGCGCCGGACCGUGUACAAGUCUCUUGGAACAGAGCGUCAUAGAGGGUGAGAAUCCCGUCUUUGACACGGACUACCGGUGCUUUGUGAUGCGCUCUCAAAGAGUCGAGUUGUUUGGGAAUGCAGCUCAAAAUGGGUGGUAAAUUCCAUCUAAAGCUAAAUAUUGGCGAGAGACCGAUAGCGAACAAGUACCGUGAGGGAAAGAUGAAAAGCACUUUGGAAAGAGAGUUAAACAGUACGUGAAAUUGCUGAAAGGGAAACGCUUGAAGUCAGUCGCGUCGUCCAGAACUCAACCUGGCUUUAAUUGCUGGGUGCACUUUCUGGUAGACGGGCCAACAUCAGUUUUGACUGCUGGAAAAAAGCCUUUGGAAUGUGGCACCUUCGGGUGUGUUAUAGCCUUGGGUUGUAUACAGCGGUGGGGACUGAGGACCGCAGCACGCCUUUAUGGCCGGGGUUCGCCCACGUACGUGCUUAGGAUGUUGGCGUAAUGGCUUUAAGCGACCCGUCUUGAAACACGGACCAAGGAGUCUAACAUGCCUGCGAGUGUUUGGGUGGCAAACCCGAGCGCGCAACGAAAGUGAAAGUUGGGAUCCCUGUCGUGGGGAGCACCGACGCCCAUACCAGACCUUCUGUGACGGAUAUGCGGUUGAGCAUGUAUGUUGGGACCCGAAAGAUGGUGAACUAUGCCUGAAUAGGGUGAAGCCAGAGGAAACUCUGGUGGAAGCUCGUAGCGAUUCUGACGUGCAAAUCGAUCGUCAAAUUCGGGUAUAGGGGCGAAAGACUAAUCGAACCAUCUAGUAGCUGGUUCCUGCCGAAGUUUCCCUCAG